UGCUGUAGAUCACUUACUGGUACUAGUUCCUUUUCAAGAGGCAGGUUCAUCGGAUCCACCAGGUCCAGUAUGGAGGAGUCAGCCAUCACAGGAGGCAAAUACUAUUGAGGAUAGGGUGGCACUGGUGGCCUGAGAAGCGAAGAUCGUGACGAAUGUGACUAAUGGGAGGAGCUAAUCCCAGAUUUUUCUCUUUGUCCUUACAGGAAUGGCUGCAUUGGAACUUGAAGCGGGAGAUAGGAAUGAGCCAAGUCAACAGAUGGCCUUGGAGGAAAGUGUUUAGCUUGGGCUAUUGGAAUAUUUGGAAAAAUAGAUGUCGCGGCAUUUUUAACAAUGACCGACUUUUAGUACAAAGGGUGUUUCAAUCAAUUCUUCAUCAUCUUAGGGAGGAUAAAGCACUCAAGGUUUUCCGAAAAGUCAUUCUACAAUCUAGAUUAUGAGAGGAGGUGCAUUGGGUGCCACCUAUUGAUGGCGAAUUCAGAUUUGAUGUAAACAGCUCAGUAACUACAGAAGGAAAUGCGGCUUGUGGUGGUGUACUAAGGAAUCAGCAAGGAGAUUGGAUUGUGGGGUUCAAGCAAAAUCUUGGUGAAGAGAAUAUUGUUGUAGCGGAGCUUAUGGCUAUUCAUAAUGCUUUGAAUAUAUACAAAGAAAGGAAUGUGACAAAGGCUUCCAUCUAUACCGAUUCUUUACAAGCUCUUCAACUCUUGGUGCGUGAUGGGAGCUACUUCCAUCCUUUGAAUGUUAUUAUUCAACAGAUCCAGCAAACUUGGCAGAAUACUGAAAAUAUACACAUCAUUCAUACCUAUAGAGAAGGAGUAAGGUGUGCGGACCAACUGGCUAGGAAUGCUCACCAUGGUAGUUUUGAGUUGCAAGUUAUGCAGACGGUUCAAGUUAUGCAGACGGUUCCUAUAGAAUGUUUCAAUAUUUUCUACUCUGAAGUACCUACCAAUCGUUUGGCGAACUAGACGUUUUUUUGUACUCCAGUUUCCAAGCUUAGGCUUGCCUCGACUUAAAAAAAUAUAGUUAGGCCUCUUAAAAUUUAAGUGUAAUUAAAAUUAUAGGUGAAUUGUAAUUAAAAUUAUAAGUGAAAAGACCUUUAUACCCA